AUAUCUACAUAACAAAUUUACUUAACAUUUUUAAAUGUAUUUUUCAGAUCCUCCAAUAACCGGUACAGGCUAUAGACAACUUUCCAUAAACUCAUGGAUUUCCGCAGGUCUCUUACUUGCUUGGCGACUGGCAUGAUCGGAGAUACUAUUCUACGCAUCAGAAAUGUAUUAGAAUCGUGUCAGUGACCAGGUUGCAGUUUGUGCGACGAAAUUUUUUUACUUUAAAUAAUAAAUAUUUAAGUAAAAUUAGCAACAUUUGCUGGUUUUUGAAUAGCUAAAAUACGUUUUUCACUGUGAAAUGGUUUAUAUAUUUUUAAUAAUCUUAUAAUCCACUGCAUCCUCAUCGCACUAAUCUCACAUACGAUUAAUAAAUCCUUUUUAAAGUAAUUUUAUAUAAUGUUAUCCAAAUUCAAUAAAUGAAAAGUUUAAUAAACUAUUUUCUUGCUUUUG